ACGACUCAUUGUGAUACUGACGCUCAUAAAAUAGGACACCGUCUUUUCAUGUACCUACAUAUAUACCUAUAUUCUAUACAUGUUUAAGAGUUACAUGUCAUAGUUACAGUUGAGGCUUUACGUGCCUAUAUUCUGACGUCAUCUCCGCAUUUAUUGAAGUCUGCUUCCCAAUUUAUCUACUUAAACAACAGCUAUGAAGGUUUAUACAUAUAGGCGUCGCGUGUGGACUCUGUGCGGUGGUUUUAGAGGCGGUUUUGGAUUGGAGGUGGAAGGCAGUUGGUGUGGCGCAGUGUGGUCGUGCGUGGUGCGUGGAGUGGCGGCGGCGGUGACGUCAGCCCAUGAUGUCACACCAGAAGGCCGCCGCGGCCGGCCUACUCCGCCGCCACGACAACCUCUAUCUAAUGCCAACCUUGAUUCUUCAUUAUUACCUUCUACCUAGUACUACGACAUUUAGGGAUACCAGCUGAUUCAUUAAGCAUGUCACAGCCUGUAAAUCCAUACAUAUACAUAAGUACUUAAGUACCUAUUGUAAUAUAGAAAAUAAAGACAUUACAUAAACACCCGUA